rnacentral:SRP_RNA from 1 species
GCCAGCAUGGUGGCACAUGCCUGUAGUCCCAGCUACUCAGGAGGCUGAGGCUGGAGGAUCACUUGAGUCCAGGAGUUCUGGGCUGCAGUGCGCUCUGCCAAUCAGGUGUCCGCACUAAGUUCAGCAUCAAUAUGGUGACCUCCCGGGAGCGAGGGACCACCAGGUUGCAUAAGGAGGGGUGAACGGGCCCAGGUCAGGAAUGGAGCAGGUCAAAACUCCUGUGCUGAUCAGUAGUGGGAUCGCACCUGUGAAUAGCCACUGCACUCCAGCCUGGGCAACAUAGUGAGACCCCAUCUCU